GGGGCUGAUCGGUUUCGACGUUGGGACCGGAGGCUGCGCUGUGCGACUCGAGUUGCUCAGACUCGCAAAACGGGGCAACCAAAUAAACGACACUGACCGUGUCCCUCUUGCAGCCUGAUCUAUCAGGAAACAAGAGUCAUCGCGACCGGUAACGGCACGCGGGGCCUAUCCAUCGCAGCCCGGCAACAGAAGCGUUGGAGACAGUAGGGACAGACCACUGACGGCGAGAAAGACCGCUGACUUCGGGCAACAGACCCGGUGGCAAAGCCCCCUAACAGGGAGCUAAUCCGACCCGGCGGCGCGGCUGCCAUUAAGGCCACACACCGGGAAUAGUCGUAUCACAGUCAGAACCCGCCUAGCGGACGGGGGUUCGAUUCCCCCCAGCUCCACCA
rnacentral:tmRNA from 1 species